CACUCAUCGAGACCAGUCGAGGGAAAGGCCCGACGACGCUGGGGCAACCGCUGCAAACGCAGAAUGGUGCCAACUCCUACAGGGCGCAUUUCCCUGACAGAUGAGAG
rnacentral:ncRNA from 2 species